rnacentral:rRNA from 1 species
ACCCGCUGGAACUUAAGCAUAUCAAUAAGCGGAGGAAAAGAAACCAACAGGGAUUGCCUCAGUAACGGCGAGUGAAGCGGCAACAGCUCAAAUUUGAAAUCUGGCCUCUGUCGGGGUCCGAGUUGUAAUUUGUAGAGGAUGCUUCGGGUACGGCUGCGGUCUAAGUUCCUUGGAACAGGACGUCAUGGAGGGUGAGAAUCCCGUGUGGGACCGCCUGCCACGCCCGUGUGAAGCGCCUUCGACGAGUCGAGUUGUUUGGGAAUGCAGCUCCAAAUGGGUGGUAAAUUUCAUCUAAAGCUAAAUACCGGCCAGAGACCGAUAGCGCACAAGUAGAGUGAUCGAAAGAUGAAAAGCACUUUGGAAAGAGAGUUAAAAAGCAUGUGAAAUUGUUGAAAGGGAAGCGCUUGCAACCAGACUUGCCCCCGGGGGUUCCACCGGCGUUCUCGCCGGCUCACUCCCCCGGAGUCAGGCCAGCAUCGGUUUGGGUGGCCGGACAAAGGCCCCUGGAAUGUAGCUCUCUUCGGGGAGUGUUAUAGCCAGGGGUGCCAUGCGGCCCACCCGGACCGAGGGACGCGCUGCGGCACGAUG